AAUAAUCCUGCAAGCACAACAAUCUGCAGCAAAAUCAAAGCAAACUACAAAGACCAUUGGCAAUGCAAUCUCAAACAAUCAAACAAUUGCCAAACAUCAUAAAGUAAUUCACCACAACCAGUCCAACAGCAGUUCCAAACAUCAAGAAAUACUAACAACAAACUAUGUAUAAGUUCAACACUUGACUGAUCAACAACCAACAAUAGAGCAAUCAUUCAAUAACUUAAGUUCACACUAAUUUUAAUUUUUAACACAUUCUACUCCUAACUGAUA
rnacentral:lncRNA from 1 species